rnacentral:antisense_RNA from 1 species
CACACGUGUGGAGGAAGGAGAGGAAGGGAUGAUGGCACUCCUAUCCUUACACACAGGUA